UUUUUUCUUUUCUCCCUAGUCCACAUAGCUCUCGAAUGUUUGAACAGGCAGUUCUAAGAGGGUGUGUUUGAUAACACGGGAAGUUAGUUCUCAAAAGAUGGAAUUUGCUUGUUACUAUUCAUGUUCUGCGUUCGAUAAAGGAAGUUCUUUGUAGUGUAGCUCUUCCUACUUUUACGCUUUAAAAAAGUUCCUUGUAAAACCACAGAACUUAAAAAAGGAACUUCAUACGCCACUUCAUUCUAUGCCUCCCCCUCCUCCACAACUGCUCCUCCAUGCCUCCACCUUCGCCGCCUCCCCAACUGCUUCACCUCAUCAGAUUGUUGAUGAGUCGAUAUCCAAGAUCUGUCUUUUUCUUUCUUGCUAGAUGGGUCAAAGGUGCUAUGUCCAAGAUCUGUCUUUUUCCUUUCUUGCUAGAUGGGAUAAGUUAUUCUGUUCAUCACGAUAUAUAUCAUCUGUUUUGCUUUAGGUUGUUUUUUUGUCAAAAUUUAGUGUAUUUGAUCUGCUAUUGACAACUGAAGGAAUGGAUAGUUCAUGGCGUGAGAUUUAUUGAAGCACUUAUUUCUAAUUCUUUAGGGAGUUUUUCAUUUACUCUAUGUUGUCAUUUUAGGGCUUGAAUGAUUGUUAUGGGAAACUUGUGCUCUACAUUUUGCAAUUUUCA